AGGUGGCUAUAGCGACGGGGCCCCACCUCUUCCCAUUCCGAACAGAGAAGUUAAGCCCGCCAGCGCCGAUGGUACUGCAGAAAUGUGGGAGAGUAGGUCGCCGCUU
rnacentral:rRNA from 1 species